AGAGUUUGAUCAUGGCUCAGGACGAACGCUGGCGGCGCGCUUAACACAUGCAAGUCGAGCGAGAACCGAGGCUUCGGCCUCGGGGACAGCGGCGAACGGGUGAGUAACACGUGGAUAACCUGCCCUCGGCACCGGGAUAGCCCGAGGAAACUCGGAUUAAUACCGGAUAGCCCUUUUGACUUUCGAGUCAGUCGGAAAAGGUAGCUUCGGCCUCUGGCCGAGGAUGGGUCCGCGGCGGAUUAGCUUGUUGGUGGGGUAAUGGCCUACCAAGGCAUCGAUCCGUAGCUGGUCUGAGAGGACGAUCAGCCACACUGGGACUGAGACACGGCCCAGACUCCUACGGGAGGCAGCAGUGGGGAAUCUUGCGCAAUGGGCGAAAGCCUGACGCAGCGACGCCGCGUGAGGGAAGAAGGCCUUCGGGUUGUAAACCUCUUUCAGCAGGGACGAAGCUACUCGGGUUAAUAGCCCAGAGGGUGACGGUACCUGCAGAAGAAGCCCCGGCUAACUACGUGCCAGCAGCCGCGGUAAUACGUAGGGGGCAAGCGUUGUCCGGAUUUACUGGGCGUAAAGAGCGUGUAGGCGGCCAAGCAGGUCUGUUGUGAAAACUGGAGGCUCAACCUCCAGACGUCGACAGAAACCGCUCGGCUAGAGUCCGGAAGAGGAGAGUGGAAUUCCUGGUGUAGCGGUGAAAUGCGCAGAUAUCAGGAAGAACACCAAUGGCGAAGGCAGCUCUCUGGGACGGUACUGACGCUGAGACGCGAAAGCGUGGGGAGCGAACAGGAUUAGAUACCCUGGUAGUCCACGCCGUAAACGAUGGGUGCUAGGUGUGGGGGGUGUCGACUCCCUCCGUGCCGCAGCUAACGCAUUAAGCACCCCGCCUGGGGAGUACGGCCGCAAGGCUAAAACUCAAAGGAAUUGACGG
rnacentral:rRNA from 1 species